GGGCGGUUAGCUCAGAUGGUUAGAGCACUGCGUUGACAUCGCAGAGGUCACUGGUUCGAGUCCAGUAUCGCCCACCA
rnacentral:tRNA from 1 species